UGUUGAAUCUAGGCAUACCAGGAUCAGGAUGGCCGAACUGGAGUACAUUUUACAAGAUUUCGGGGAGGAAAUCAUUCAGAUUUUGAAAGGAGCAUUUCUUCUCAGAAAAUGAAGGAUUCAUUGAGUACAGAUUCAAGAAUAUGAGGCCGAAUGGCAAACAGGGUAAGAAGAGGAAGCAUGCCAAAUCAGAUGAUCACAAACAAGUAGAUGUGAUAGUGGAUGAGGAAUUACUUCAAGAUGAAGAAUUACAAGAAAAGGUUAACUGAAAGAAGCACACAGUUCCCACUGCAGCAAAUAAGGGGAAAAUUAUCCAAUUUUUCAAAGACACUGCUGCUUAUUGUCAAAUGAUGCUAAAGAAGAGGACAGACAUGACCAUUACAGACU